GCCUAAUACAUGCAAGUCGAACGGGAUUGAGAGCUUGCUUUCAUGAGAGUGGCGUACGGGUGCGUAACGCGUAUGCAACCUACCUUCAUCAGGGGGAUAGCCCGAAGAAAUUCGGAUUAACACCGCAUAAAAACACAGCUUGGCAUCAAGCAAUGUUCAAAUAUUUAUAGGAUGAAGAUGGGCAUGCGUGUCAUUAGCUAGUUGGUAAGGUAACGGCUUACCAAGGCUACGAUGACUAGGGGAUCUGAGAGGAUGACCCCCCACACUGGUACUGAGACACGGACCAGACUCCUACGGGAGGCAGCAGUAAGGAAUAUUGGUCAAUGGAGGCAACUCUGAACCAGCCAUGCCGCGUGCAGGAAGACUGCCUUAUGGGUUGUAAACUGCUUUUAUACGGGAAUAAACCUUAAUUCGUGAAUUAAGCUGAAUGUACCGUAAGAAUAAGGAUCGGCUAACUCCGUGCCAGCAGCCGCGGUAAUACGGAGGAUCCAAGCGUUAUCCGGAUUUAUUGGGUUUAAAGGGAGCGUAGGCGGCUUGUUAAGUCAGGGGUGAAAGACGGUGGCUCAACCAUCGCAGUGCCUUUGAUACUGACGAGCUUGAAUAUAGUUGAGGUAGGCGGAAUGUGACAAGUAGCGGUGAAAUGCAUAGAUAUGUCACAGAACACCGAUUGCGAAGGCAGCUUACUAAGCUAUUAUUGACGCUGAGGCUCGAAAGCGUGGGGAUCAAACAGGAUUAGAUACCCUGGUAGUCCACGCCCUAAACGAUGAUAACUCGAUGUUGGCGAUAUACAGUCAGCGUCCAAGCGAAAGCGUUAAGUUAUCCACCUGGGGAGUACGCCCGCAAGGGUGAAACUCAAAGGAAUUGACGGGGGCCCGCACAAGCG
rnacentral:rRNA from 1 species